rnacentral:tRNA from 1 species
GCCCCAGUAGCUCAGAUCGGCCAGAGCGACUACCUCGUAAGUAGUAGGUCCUGGGUUCAAAUCCCAGCUGGGGCU